AAACUGAAGAUCAGACAUCGGCCACUGAAUUCUGAUCGGAGCAUCUUUACCGAUGAGAGGCAACUUCGAACCCGCUAAGACACAAUAAUAUAGUUCAUGAUUCCAAAACCGUCCAGCUCAGUUAAAAAAAAAAAAAAAAGACAACGUUAUUCCUGGCAAUGACACUGACAGUCUGUGAAAAUGUCUGUCUGCACAGCGCGGCAUCCUUCAGGCAGAUGAUAUACUUUUAGGCAGAUGAGUAGGGAAUGAAAAUAAUUAACGCAACAGUACAGAUACAAGCAAAGAAAUUCUCUUCUGAAGAACGUUUCAUGUUUGCCUUUUGUUUUUCUCAGUAUACGAAUCCUUUCUCAUUAGGUAGAAAUUCGACAGUAAUAAUAAGAAUAAAAAAAAAAAACAUUCUCCAUCUUUGGGGAUCCAAAAAUCAGGAUCAAAACAUUUCAGCUCCUUUAAAAAAAGAAUUAAAAAGGGGGAAAAAAGUCGUCCUUGUGUGAUGCGACGUAAACACUACAGGGAUCAUUCUUGCUUUGGGAUUUCUUAGAAGUCAGCGUUUGUUUAUUAGACUUGAACAGCUACUUAUUCGCCGAUGAGGGGGGAUGAGGUAAUGCGUCAGCGAUGCACGGCACACUUUUUUCUUCUUCUUCUUCCCCCCCUAAACCCCUGCUCUGGAAGUCGCGUUGAAGUAGUAACAUCGAAAAGUGCCCCCUCUCCUCCAGGAGGAGUCUAGUGUAACAUGUAACCCCUGCGUGGCCCCAUGAGUCAGGAUCCAGAACCGCUGGCUCUUUCUGGGCUUGAAUUGAAUUAGCAGGUGUGUCCAAACUUUUGGUCUGUACUGUAUAUGUGAAUUUUACCCAAAAUAAUAAUAAUAAUAGUAGUAUGUAUUUAUGAUGAGAUUUUUAAUUGAUGCAUUUGUUUAGAGCCACCUAGUGGUGUGAUGAGUAACUGCAUGCAACGGGUCCUUCAGGCGCUCUCACGGCUUCCCCCACCAGGAUUCUGAGGAACGCUGGUGGAGCUGUGGGGCAACAUGCGUGCGACACUAAGUCACAUUGUGAGGAAUGUUUCAUUCUGUAUCGUACUAGGUGACAAACAACCAAGCAAGGAAGACCACAGUGGCGCCGUGACGAACGAGAAGGGUUACAGUGGCACAUUCCUUUGAAGAGUGUGAACUAAGUUUCUUUGAACUCUUUGAAGAAUCUGAAUUAAUGACCUACAGCAACAUUUAACAUUUAAUUUGGCUUUGGGUUUAAUGAAGUAUUUUUGAAUUUGAAACAAACUAUGCUAUUUUUAAUGACUGCACAGUGCUGUUUUUCUUAUGUAGUAAAUUUGCCAUUACUGUGCAGUUUCUUACUUUCAUUUUUCAGUUUUUCUUUUUUCUUUUUUUUUUUUUUACUUUUAUGUGAAUUUGCAUGCCUGUAUCCAUCUUUCUCUUGCUACUGAUGCAUCUGCAUUUCCUCACUGUGGGACAAUAUGGGAUUAUGUUGAAAACAUGUAUAAGUUUCUUUCCACCCUGUAUUUGUCUAAAAUAAAAACGAAAAAGAAAACGA